GGAUCUCUUUGUGGAGAUUGCUGCUCUUGGUGUUUUUUUUCUGUUAGCAUGUGACAUGGGUUAAUUUUCAGUUGAAGUUUUCUAAUCUAACUGGUCAUGUGAUUUCAUGGCUGCUCACUCCCGGUGAUGCAGUAAGAUCACACACCUGAACAGUGCCAUGGCUGACCCUUUCAGUCACAGCAUAUACACAUGCUGGCUAAUGUUUUUGGGAAGCCUAAGUUUCAACGCUGCUUCUCCAGAGAAUUAUGUUCAUCAGCCCACAGAACACAACUAAGAGAUUACUCCAAAUCACAUCAAGCAACCGCUGUGGGAGGCAGCAGUGUGAUCAGAGCGAAGCUGUCCCAGGGACAGAAGGAGUUUGAUUAUAUAGCAAAAAUGAAAUUCAGGAUUUCCUGAUUGAUUUUGAAGAAAGCAAAUGCAUGCUGCUGCCUUAUGAGGAGUGCCUCAGUUUUCACUGUGGUGGUGGAGGGAAAACGGCUUUGGUUAUUCAGUAUGGAUAAUCAGUGCUCUGAGUCAAGUAUGUAGAUACGAAUCAGUCAUACAGAACUUCACACGUACACAUCUACUCUGUGAAAACUGGAAGUUUUGUAUAGUUCUGCUUUGUGAACUAUCACACCACCCUAAAAGUGCACUCAAAAAGCUUGUUUGGAUUUGAUGGGUGAAAAGGUGGGGGGUUGCAGUUACUGUCUAGGGAAGGUUGAUCUCUCCUUACUAUUUUAAAUCUAGAUGUUCAUAUCUGUACUGAUUAACAUACAUAUAUAGUAUAAAAUAUUACAUGUUCUAGGAGGUGAUGGCACUCUGUGUGCCACUGGUGACGUUGGAAUGGCCCACCUCUCUUAACAGUCUAUGGUGUAUGGUUUCUAAUGAGCAUGAAAAAUUGAAUCAAUUGAAUUAAUAAAUUCCCUUAUCCAGUUACGGUGAGACUUCUUAAAUAGAAUUCCUUCUGUCCAUUACUUCUCCUCCUCUCUCCCAACCUUCCUUCAACUCCCUACAUGCUCAUUUCGGUUCUGAUUAAGUGUCAUUGAGGCCACGCUCAAGAGUGCACAUAAAACAAGAAUUUUAAAGUUCUGCUUUAAUAAGAACCACCACUUGAACAAUUUCUCAUUUUGGGUCUGCUUUGGGACUCCUAGGGAUGCUAAUGCCUGUUAAUUUAAACUUCUUAUCAGCAGACUAGCAAGACCAUUCACACAUUUUCCAGAGACACCACAGGAUUUAGGCUGUUGUCCUAAUUGCUAUUGUUCAGGCAGCCAGCUAUUAUAUUUACCACAAGCUGUUUUCAUCUUGUUGGGUUGUUUUCAUCUUGUUGGGAGCCUGGUGCCAAACUGAAAAACAACACCUACCUUGACAACUUGUCGCCUUCCGGAAGCUGAAGCAAUUACACUAUAGGAUGCAGACAAGCUAUACAAAUGGUGUAAGCUUUUGGCUGUGUUUUCAAUAGAUGGUGAAUCUGUUUUUAGGGAAAUGACGGUAAGCACUACACAGUGCUUAGCUCCAUGACGCUAAGCACUACACACAGUCUUUCUUCAAGGUUUUUUGUUUGUUUAUUUGUUUAAUUGGUGAACAUCUUGGUCAAUCAGCUAUGUUUGUGACCGACCAUGUUUUCUAUGCUUGAUCAGAUCUGAACUCAAUGACUCUGUCAGAGAUGAGCUUCUCUGCCUCACAGAUUUCUUAUCUGCUUAGAAGAAUACAACGUUUGCACAGUCAUGAUAGUACCAGUCUGAAAAAUGAUUUAUUUUCUUCCAUUCUCGUUCCUUGGUUCAGUUUAGGGGAGGAUAGGGAAACGUGUCCUGGGCAGGAGAUCCCACAUUUUAGGCAAUAAAUUCCUGUAAGACUGUGAUCAUUCAUAAAACUGAACCCUAAUUGACUUCCAAAACUGCUUUCCUCUCUUUUUGUUUUUCUGGAUAUAGGCAUUAAACUGCUUUAAAAAUAAAACUCAGAUUACAACUCAGACUUCUCUGCAGACAUUCAUUUGCUUUGGAAAAAAUUAUAGAUACUUGCCCUCAAUUUAAAUCAAAUUUGAGGCUGUAAAAAACAAAGAAACGGACAAAAAAAAAAAAACAACAAAAAAAAAACCAACCAACUUUGGUUACACUUACAUUUGUUUCAUUUUUCAUAUUCUUCUCCACUUCCUUUUUUUUUUUUUUUGGAAUACUUCCACCCGGAAGUACCGGAGAUAAACCAAUGCACCCAGUUUUGCAGAGGAUGGGUGUUCUUGUGUUGAAGGCUCUGAGCUGGGAUUUAGGAAACCUGGAUUCAAUUUUCUGCUUUGUCACUCGUUUCCAGUUUAAAAUUGGGCAUGGUGUGCUCAUCCUCCUGGGAAACCUGCAAGUGGUGCUGUGAUGACCCCUGUAGCCAAGGAAAGAGAAGUGAAUGGCUCAGCCAGAUGUGCUUCCAAACCUAUCCUGAAGAUGCUGACUGCCUAUGGUAUGUCUGGAAAAUGCCAUUCUACUCUACACCUGCAAGCUUAAGAAACAAUAACUGCAUGAGGAAUUGUCAGUCUAGAAACCUGAUCCCAAACUCAGUGAAGGCAAUGUGAGACUUCCCAUUGAUUUUAAUGAUUUGGAGCUAAGUAUUUCUAAGACAAAAAUCAAUAUUGUCCCACAGUGGUAAAGUUUUCAUGUGUUUCUAUUGAUUCUUUUUGUUGUAGAUUACAGCAUACCUUGGCACUGUCAAGAUACAAAGUUUCAACAAACAGAUUUGAUUUAUUAACAUCUGCAGUAGCAAGUAUUUAGUGAGUGUCAGCAAACAAAAGUCUGCCAGAAGAAGCACCAGGGACAAUUAUUUGUUGCACAAUGAGAGUUGGAAUUUAAUGGGAACAGGCUUUUCUUAAUACCAGUCUAUGUUAGAACUCUCUGUGAUGUGCUAAGUGCGAGUUGUGCAUUCCAAAACUUCUUUUUUAAAAACCAGUGAGAGCAUUAGUCGUAAGAGAAGUCUCACCUCUUCUGAAGCACCUCAGUUUAUCUCCUGUCUGAAUCACAGUGAAGAAUAACAUUGCCAUGACGGUAUGGUUACAAAAAAGAUGCAAAAAUUCUCAAAUUAAAUUGAACUCAGCCUGUCAGUUAUGCUUUAUAAUUUAACAAAGGAUCAUCUUUUAAAUACUGACUGUAAAAUACGAUGUCUUAUUUCAGAAAUACAUUGCUGUAUUUAUAGCAUCCGACUUACAAAUGGUAGGGAUGGGCAUGGUCGACAGAACUGCUUGUUCUGGUAAUAGUUACAACUGUGGACUGCUCAGCUGCCAGCCCCGACAGUCAAAAAUCUCCAGUAGUAUCUCUAGAAUGACUCUUCAAAUUCUAGGCAUCUAAUUCAACCUGAUUUCAAUACUGUUUGAAAAAUAAGUAGUUCAUACAGUUCAAAAAGAAUAUGGCCACAGUCUGAAGACAUGCAGCUUUCCUACUCUGCACCCACAUGGUAAUAUUUUAGUAGUUCACAUUCCUUUACAUGAUACUUUUUCUCAGUGUACAGGGAGUCAGGGGACAAAUCUCCGGGUGUAAAUAUCAUUUCCUCUGUCUGAGAGGAUAAUUUGGCUGGAAGAAAAUUUGAAACCUUUCUAGUCUCAGAACUUUCCUAUUCCAAACCCAAAGCUGCAAAUUAUGCCUGACAGACCGCAAAGUGUUACAUUCAUUUGUGUUUUCCAAACGGUGUAAAUCUUAAUUUUCUAAUUGAAUUUGUAAUCACUUGUCUUGUAAUUAUUACAGUAAGAAUCUCUCUAGCGAUUCGAUCGAUCAUAACAGAAGUGCAGAUACCAUGUAAAUCUUAUCAAGAUCACUCAAAUAAUGGGAUUUUUGUUUACAAGGUGUCGAUUGGUUUUAGAAGCUUUGAUAAUGACUCCAGACAGUCAAUAAAUACGGAGUCUUUUACAUUGCCGGUAGGAGCCGAACUGAACUAUCUAAUCUUUUUAAAAUGACAGACAACACAAUGAACUCUAAACUUAAUCCCCUCCAAACACUAAGGAGACAGUUUAGUGCUUAAAGUACUACUCAGACUCAAAACCUACAUUUAAAAAAAUCAUUAAGCGUCUGAGUUAAAUACACAGACCCAGGGAAAUUCAGAGUGAAGGCUGCAGCGCCGGACUGGUUUUCCUUCCUGUGGUUCCUGGGCUGUCUGUGGUGGGCUGUGAGCCUGCCAGCAGCUCAUGCAGGGCAAGGAAAACACCUGUGGGCCUUUUGAAAACAAGUUUGUAGUCAAAGAAUUUAAGAUACAUAUAUAUAUAAAUCUGAAGUCUUACUUUGUGUUCUAGUGAGGAAAUUUUGCCCUAAGGUCUUUAAGCAGACAUGGGGGGGAAAUCUGCAGGCAAAGUUCCAGCUGGCAGAAUUUACCCCACUGGGUUCAUAACCUCUGAAUGAAACACGUGUCCUUUGGGAGAAAAACGGAACCAUAAAUGUAAGGCUUAUGUAGGUGGGGGAGAGGGUGACAGGUAAUGGCUGAUGAAAAGUCUGACUUUUUUUUUUAUUUCUCUCUCUCCUUGUGGGGUAGCAUCUCCAGGCAUUACGAGUCACUGAGAUUAACUGUGGAAGACUCCUUCUCCUUUACUUCAAAUUAUGAAGCAAGCAAGUCUUGUUUUAGAAAGUGUCAUCCAGCACAGUUAAAUGCCUGUCAACAAGCAUUGACAAGCAUCUCUCAUGUUUGUCAACAGAAAAAAAAAAAAAGCUUUGAUAAUUACAUGAAAUGAUUAAAUACAUUAAAGUAUGUAAAUAUAUAACACAUAUAAAACCAUUCUUUAUUUAACUUCACUGUUUUUUUCUGACUGUGGGGCUGUAUCUUAUACUAGUAAUAAAAAGGUGUGAAAAUAUAAA